rnacentral:rRNA from 1 species
GAACGGGUGAGUAACACCGUGGGUGAUCUGCCUUGCACUUCGGGAUAAGCUUGGGAAACUGGGUCUAAUACCGGAUAGGACAGCUGUUUAGUGUCAGUUGUGGAAAGUUUUUUCGGUGCAAGAUGAGCUCGCGGCCUAUCAGCUUGUUGGUGGGGUAAUGGCCUACCAAGGCGUCGACGGGUAGCCGGCCUGAGAGGGUGUACGGCCACAUUGGGACUGAGACACGGUCCAGACUCCUACGGGAGGCAGCAGUAGGGAAUCUUCCGCAAUGGGCGAAAGCCUGACGGAGCAACGCCGCGUGAGUGAUGAAGGUCUUCGGAUCGUAAAACUCUGUUAUUAGGGAAGAACAAAUGUGUAAGUAACUAUGCACGUCUUGACGGUACCUAAUCAGAAAGCCACGGCUAACUACGUGCCAGCAGCCGCGGUAAUACGUAGGUGGCAAGCGUUAUCCGGAAUUAUUGGGCGUAAAGCGCGCGUAGGCGGUUUUUUAAGUCUGAUGUGAAAGCCCACGGCUCAACCGUGGAGGGUCAUUGGAAACUGGAAAACUUGAGUGCAGAAGAGGAAAGUGGAAUUCCAUGUGUAGCGGUGAAAUGCGCAGAGAUAUGGAGGAACACCAGUGGCGAAGGCGACUUUCUGGUCUGUAACUGACGCUGAUGUGCGAAAGCGUGGGGAUCAAACAGGAUUAGAUACCCUGGUAGUCCAUGCCGUAAACGGUGGGCGCUAGGUGUAGGGGGCUUCCACGUCUUCUGUGCCGUAGCUACGCAUUAAGCGCCCCGCCUGGGGAGUAC